rnacentral:rRNA from 1 species
GACGAACGCUGGCGGCGUGCUUAACACAUGCAAGUCGAACGGAAAGGCCCUGCUUUUGUGGGGUGCUCGAGUGGCGAACGGGUGAGUAACACGUGAGUAACCUGCCCUUGACUUUGGGAUAACUUCAGGAAACUGGGGCUAAUACCGGAUAGGAGCUCCUGCUGCAUGGUGGGGGUUGGAAAGUUUCGGCGGUUGGGGAUGGACUCGCGGCUUAUCAGCUUGUUGGUGGGGUAGUGGCUUACCAAGGCUUUGACGGGUAGCCGGCCUGAGAGGGUGACCGGCCACAUUGGGACUGAGAUACGGCCCAGACUCCUACGGGAGGCAGCAGUAGGGAAUAUUGCACAAUGGGCGGAAGCCUGAUGCAGCAACGCCGCGUGCGGGAUGACGGCCUUCGGGUUGUAAACCGCUUUCGCCUGUGACGAAGCGUGAGUGACGGUAAUGAGUAAAGAAGCACCGGCUAACUACGUG